UUAAGCAGUAAAUGUGGAGCCGUAGCGAAAGCGAGUCUGAAUAGGGCGUUUAGUAUUUGGUCGUAGACCCGAAACCAGGUGAUCUACCCUUGGUCAGGUUGAAGUUCAGGUAACACUGAAUGGAGGACCGAACCGACUUACGUUGAAAAGUGAGCGGAUGAACUGAGGGUAGCGGAGAAAUUCCAAUCGAACCUGGAGAUAGCUGGUUCUCUCCGAAAUAGCUUUAGGGCUAGCCUCAAGUGAUGAUUAUUGGAGGUAGAGCACUGUUUGGACGAGGGGCCCCUCUCGGGUUACCGAAUUCAGACAAACUCCGAAUGCCAAUUAAUUUAACUUGGGAGUCAGAACAUGGGUGAUAAGGUCCGUGUUCGAAAGGGAAACAGCCCAGACCACCAGCUAAGGUCCCAAAAUAUAUGUUAAGUGGAAAAGGAUGUGGCGUUGCCCAGACAACUAGGAUGUUGGCUUAGAAGCAGCCAUCAUUUAAAGAGUGCGUAAUAGCUCACUAGUCGAGUGACACUGCGCCGAAAAUGUACCGGGGCUAAACAUAUUACCGAAGCUGUGGAUUGUCCUUUGGACAAUGGUAGGAGAGCGUUCUAAGGGCGUUGAAGCAUGAUCGUAAGGACAUGUGGAGCGCUUAGAAGUGAGAAUGCCGGUGUGAGUAGCGAAAGACGGGUGAGAAUCCCGUCCACCGAUUGACUAAGGUUUCCAGAGGAAGGCUCGUCCGCUCUGGGUUAGUCGGGUCCUAAGCUGAGGCCGACAGGCGUAGGCGAUGGAUAACAGGUUGAUAUUCCUGUACCACCUAUAAUCGUUUUAAUCGAUGGGGGG
rnacentral:rRNA from 2 species